rnacentral:rRNA from 1 species
AUUGAACGCUGGCGGCAUGCCUUACACAUGCAAGUCGAACGGCAGCACGGGUGCUUGCACCUGGUGGCGAGUGGCGAACGGGUGAGUAAUACAUCGGAACGUACCUUAUCGUGGGGGAUAACGCAGCGAAAGUUGCGCUAAUACCGCAUACGCCCUGAGGGGGAAAGCGGGAGACCGUAAGGCCUCGCGCGAUUAGAGCGGCCGAUGUCUGAUUAGCUUGUUGGUGAGGUAAAAGCUCACCAAGGCGAUGAUCAGUAGCUGGUCUGAGAGGACGAUCAGCCACACUGGGACUGAGACACGGCCCAGACUCCUACGGGAGGCAGCAGUGGGGAAUUUUGGACAAUGGGGGCAACCCUGAUCCAGCAAUGCCGCGUGAGUGAAGAAGGCCUUCGGGUUGUAAAGCUCUUUUGUCAGGGAAGAAACAGCAGCUCUAACACAGUCUGCGAAUGACGGUACCUGAAGAAUAAGCACCGGCUAACUACGUGCCAGCCGCCGCAGUAAGAC